CGGCCGAGCGGGACUGGCUGGGUCGGCUCCGCUGCCGCUGCGAGGAGGAGCCGCGGGGCUGUGCUCGGCGGCCAAGGGGACAGCGCGCGGGCGGCUGAGGAUGCUACGGGGCGGCGGCGCCCCUCGCUCGUGACUGCUGCGCCGCGCCUCACACAGCCGAGGCGGGCUCGGCGCGCGGUCGCUGCUCCGCGCGCGCGCCCGGCGGCGCUCCUGGUGCUGACAGCGCGAGACAGCGCGGCCCUCAGGAGCUGGACGAAUGUAUGACAACAUGUCCACAAUGGUGUACAUAAAGGAAGACAAGUUGGAGAAGCUUACACAGGAUGAAAUUAUUUCUAAAACAAAGCAAGUAAUUCAGGGGCUGGAAGCUUUGAAGAAUGAGCACAAUUCCAUUUUACAAAGUUUGCUGGAGACACUGAAGUGUUUGAAGAAAGAUGAUGAAAGUAACCUGGUGGAGGAGAAAUCAAACAUGAUCCGGAAGUCACUGGAGAUGUUGGAGCUUGGCCUGAGUGAGGCACAGGUUAUGAUGGCUUUGUCAAAUCACCUGAAUGCUGUGGAGUCCGAGAAGCAGAAACUGCGUGCGCAGGUUCGUCGUCUGUGCCAGGAGAAUCAGUGGCUACGGGAUGAAUUGGCCAACACGCAGCAGAAACUGCAGAAGAGCGAGCAGUCUGUGGCUCAACUGGAGGAGGAGAAGAAGCAUCUGGAGUUUAUGAAUCAGCUAAAAAAAUAUGACGACGACAUUUCCCCAUCCGAGGACAAAGACACUGAUUCUACCAAAGAGCCUCUGGAUGACCUUUUCCCCAAUGAUGAAGACGACCCAGGGCAAGGAAUCCAGCAGCAGCAUAGCAGCGCCGCCGCGGCUGCCCAGCAGGGCGGCUACGAGAUCCCCGCGCGGCUGCGGACACUCCACAACCUGGUGAUCCAGUACGCCUCGCAGGGACGCUACGAGGUAGCCGUGCCCCUCUGCAAGCAGGCCCUGGAGGACCUGGAGAAGACUUCAGGACAUGACCACCCGGACGUGGCCACCAUGCUCAACAUCCUGGCCUUGGUGUACAGGGAUCAGAAUAAAUACAAAGAUGCAGCUAACCUACUGAAUGAUGCCUUGGCUAUUCGUGAGAAAACUUUGGGCAAAGAUCAUCCUGCGGUGGCAGCGACUUUGAAUAACCUUGCAGUCCUUUAUGGUAAGAGAGGGAAGUACAAAGAAGCAGAGCCGUUGUGCAAAAGAGCUCUGGAAAUCCGAGAAAAGGUUUUGGGGAAGGAUCACCCCGAUGUUGCCAAGCAGUUAAAUAACUUGGCCUUACUGUGCCAGAACCAGGGCAAGUAUGAAGAAGUAGAAUAUUAUUAUCAAAGAGCCCUCGAGAUCUACCAGACAAAACUGGGACCUGAUGACCCCAACGUGGCUAAGACAAAAAAUAACCUGGCAUCCUGCUAUCUGAAACAAGGAAAGUUCAAGCAAGCAGAAACACUGUACAAAGAGAUUCUCACUCGUGCACAUGAAAGGGAGUUUGGUUCUGUAGAUGAUGAAAAUAAACCCAUCUGGAUGCAUGCUGAAGAAAGAGAAGAAUGCAAAGGAAAGCAAAAGGAUGGGACGUCUUUUGGAGAGUAUGGCGGCUGGUACAAAGCCUGCAAAGUUGAUAGUCCAACUGUUACAACCACUCUAAAAAACCUUGGGGCACUUUACAGACGUCAAGGCAAAUUUGAAGCUGCAGAAACAUUAGAAGAAGCUGCCAUGAGGUCUCGUAAACAGGGUCUUGACAAUGUUCACAAACAGAGGGUGGCGGAAGUGCUCAAUGACCCUGAGAACAUGGAGAAGCGCAGGAGCCGUGAGAGCCUCAACGUGGACGUGGUCAAGUACGAGAGUGGCCCUGACGGAGGGGAGGAAGUGAGUAUGAGCGUAGAGUGGAACGGGGAUGGCACUGGAUCUUUAAAACGCAGUGGUUCCUUUAGCAAACUCCGGGCUUCCAUUAGACGCAGCAGUGAGAAGCUGGUUAGGAAGCUGAAGGGAGGAAGUUCACGAGAGAGUGAGCCAAAGAACCCCGGCAUGAAGCGUGCCAGCUCUCUGAAUGUCCUUAACGUGGGUGGCAAGGCUGCUGAAGAUCGCUUUCAAGAACGAAAUAAUUGUCUGGCCGACUCGCGAGCUCUGAGUGCCAGCCACACUGACCUGGCCCACUGAGGGCCGGCAGGGCUAGGUAACCUGCCUUGGGAGUGUGAGACUGCCCUGCCCUGCCACGCCCCUCACCGCCCUGCCCGGAGGCGCCAGCCGCACUCCUUGGCUUCCUUUCUAGAUAGUGACGUCCACCAACCUUGGAGGUGCCUUUUCAAAACACCCGGGCGACCCUGCCCCAGCAUUCUGUCACCCGGCCUGCAGUCUCAGUGCCAGGAGCUGCCUCGACCGCGACCCGGCCAGGCUGGCGCACGGAGGCCGAGGCGAGGCCGAGGUGGCUUCAGCACACGGGGGGGCGGCUCCUGCUCACGGAUGCUGUUGCACUUCCUGCCUGCCAGCUUUUUGCCAUGACACCAAACUCUCUUCUAAAUUAUAAUGUUGUAAUAAGGCUGUAAACUAAGAACCUGGAAACAUGAAGUACCCUUUCAGAACGGUAGGCAUUUAGUGAUCUGCGGCAGUAAAGCCUGAAGCGUGGCGGACCUCCUGGUCAGUGGGAGUGAAUCCCCUCCCGGCAGGAGCGUCUUCUGGGUCUCUGUUUCCGAGGUCCCCGGGCGUGGUCCUGGGCGCCUGUGGGGCCUGGGCCCCAUGCCCACCCCUUUUGAGCAGUGUUCUCUCCUGGAGGCCCCGCACACGAAGCCCAUAGAGAUGUGCGUUUCACUUUUUAAAAGCUUAAGCUUUAUAGAAUGAGGGAGCACAGUGGACUCUGACAGGAACCUUUUCAAAUCAGUGCUGAGGCUGUAUUUCUUAGCUGUCCACAGACUAGCCCAUAGGUAAAGAGCCUACAAAACAGAUGCCGAGGUAAGCAGUGAUUCCAAAGACUGGCGCUCAGAAGCGCCACCUCCAUGCCAGCCAGCCAGGCUACGGAACAGAGGGGCGGUCUGAAACGCUGGCCAUCCCGUGAAAGGUCAGCUUGCCGCUGUCAUGUAACAGGGCAGGUGAUGGCACAGCAGAGGCUCACACUUGUCGCCUUCAGUCCCUGGAAGCUCCCCGUGGGGCACGGGGCCGAAGGCUGGGGACAGAGCAUCCUGGGGUUUUGAUAUAAGGCUAGGCUUUAAAAUACCUUUAAAAGUUUCAUUUCAUUUCAUCCCGUCUCAUGUCGCAGGACUGCUGUGUUUGUGAAAACGUAUUUGUUUCCGUAAGACAAGCUCCAUGUAGUCGUCAGCGAGCGCCUGGCACAGGCGCUGCCCUAUGGAGCCAGUGUUGUCCCCAGCGGCUCACCUGUGGCCGUGGCUCCUUUUCUGAGGCUCCUGACUCCAUUUUUGCAGAUUCUGAUGGGUCAGCAGCUUACUUUCUAAAUGCUACAUAGAGGUGUUAAAGGAAAUUUGAUAGGUUCUGUAAUAGUGGAUAGGAUUAAAAGAAAAAAUGGUACAUAUAUAUGGCUGGGUGCGGUGGUUCAUGCCUGUAAUCCUAUAAUCUUAGCACUUGGGGAGGUUGAGGCGGGAGGAUCACUUGAGCCCAGGAGGUCAAGAACAGCUUGGGCAACACAGCGAGUCCCUGUGUCUACCAAAAAAAACCCCCAUAAAUAUAUAAAAUUUGAUGGGUUGUGAGAAGCCACCCCCUCAAAAAAGGGGGGUGUAGAGCAGCUUCCUUUGACAGGUGCCGUGGCUGCCCCCGUAGUGGGCUAUGUCUGUGCACAGGCGACGGGCAGGAGGGCUCUGGAGCUUCCCUUGUGGUGGGGGGUGCCUUCUCCCUGUGAGGAUGCUGAGCAGAGUUUGGAACCCAGACAGUUUCCCUUAGUGACAGUUCUCUGGAAAGGAGAAAGGGCAUUUAGAAGAAAUAAACACAAGGCUGAAUAUGGAGUUGAAUUUUAACCUCUUCAGACUGAUGGGUGCAGACGAGGUUGUGUGGGGCCUCUGUGGAGCCUGCUCUGGCGUCCAGCCAUGGGAUCUUAGGGCCGACGUGGCCUCUGCAGCACUGUGGCUGUGGGAGCACUGUGUGUUGGGAUAAGAGAAGCCAGAAGGCCUCCUUGAAGCCAGCUCGUAAAGGAAGGUUCAUGUUUCAGAGAGGGAAGUGGCAAGGGAAUCUGAGUCCUUGAUGUUUGAACCCCCCCCCCACCCAAUAGAAGUGCAGUGAUUUAAGCCAUUUCCCAUCUGGCGGUCUGAAUUUUUCCCUUCAGAGCAGAGAAAUGGUAGGCCCAGCCAUCCCUCCUUCUGUGUUCUCUUUCUGGUGAGGGGACCCCCAACGUGAGAGUCAGCACCUGUUUCUUCAGAGUUGCUGUCAAAAUACUCACUGCACCCCACCCCCCCCACGGCAGCCGUGUGUGCAGCGCCCAGUCCCAGCCACCAUGGCAUGGGAGCGUCUGGAUCUGCGGGCGGACAGCCUGUCUCUGGGUAGUUGGUGCAGCUGUGGCAGAAACCAGGCCCUGGGGAGGUCCUGUGACAUGACUGCUGCCCUGGAGCAGCAGCAGUGUGCGGCUCAGGGGUCCUCGGAGGCUGGUGGUGCCCGCGGGUGGCACAGGGGCCCUCUCAUGGGCAGCACUUGGUCUUGUGUUUACAGUACUGGAGGAAUUCACAUCGUUAUUUUCUAGAUUAAGCUGCUAGAAAUAUCACGUAAUUAGAAAUUCAGUGUUUAUAGUAAGAUGUAUUAAACAUUGCUAAAAAUGUACGGCUACAAUCUAUAACAGGUUUUCCAUUGUCAUAACUGUAUGGAAUUUUCUUGGAGGAUGUCAUUAGCUUCUGUUUGCACUGACUUGUGAGCUGUGUGUACACUUGUCAGAUUUCUGAAUACUGUAGAGCACUCACCAGCUCUGACCAUGUCUUGCUAGGGCCGGCCGGCUGCAUGUGCAGCGGGGCCAGCUGUCUUAGGGCUGAUACGUAGACGUGUAUUCUGUUUACAAUUAGUUCCCCAACGUUGUGGGGAAGAACUUAAGUGGUUUUAAAGUGUUUUAUGAUAUGGUGAGGCAGUGAGGGUCAAGGCACGUGGUCCCUGAGGAAGGGUCUUCGGGACAAGAGGGACUGUGCUCCCAGGGUGUGGUGCCUCCCUAAGGGGAUGGUCAGUGCUCCUGGGUCAGUGCUGGCCAAGCCAGCCCUUCUGCAGACUGCUGUGGUGGGAGUUCCCUGGGACAGGAAGCCCCUCGGCCCCUUCCCUCCAGGGCAGGAACUGAACCAGCAUGGGCGGGCCGGCCGAGCUUCCAGGUGUGUUUUCUGUUAAAUGUACCUCUGUCUUUAAGCUGUCUCAUUUUCUAAUCGCCGGCAUGUCUUGCCUAGAAAAGCAUUUGGAAUUGCUUAUGUUCAAUUACAGAAAUAAAAUGUUUUAUUUGCUGUUGUAGAAUCCCUGCACUUUUGCAGAAAGGCUGUUUUGUAAAAAUCCAACCCCAAAAUAAUUUUUUCCUAUGUUCAUGCCAGUGGUUCUUAACUUUAGGGUCAGAGAACCUUGAUAACGUGAAGGUUUUCAACGGAUUGUCCCACCCUAGAAAAUGGCAAACAGAAAAAUUCUGCACAGUAUGGGCCUACCCCUUACCUUUCCCCCAACCAGUGCCAGCCCCCCCCCCCACUGUAGGAGCACCCACAGGCUCACCCUGGGCACAUGGGGUGGGGGUGACAAUUUCUGCCUCUGGGUUGUGGGAGGAGUCAAUCCACUUAGCAGUUCUGGGCCUCAAUUCCCCUACCUGCAAGUGGAGAUGUAGUAACAGUACCUAUCCGCAGGAGUUGUGAGGAGAACGUACUUCAAUGUGCAUAAAUUACUUAGAGCAGUGCCUGGCAGACAGCAAGAAGCAGGUCCUGGAACUGCAUCCAUUUAACAUUUAUUUGUCAAAGGCAUGGUCGGUGCUAGGCAGCACGUGGAGGCACUGGGUGGGUGGGAAUCAAGGGGGUCACCACUCUGCCCAUGGGGAGGCCACGCCACUGACCGCUGGGUGGAUAUUUCAGCAUCUGCAGCCAGCUGUGUUCCCGAGAGGCUCUGCUUUCUGGCCAGAUGUAAGGCCUGGCCACAGUGUGGGACUGGGUCUGCAGGUGGCCCUGCCCGGAGUCCUGCCAUCUCCCCACCAGAGUGCCGCCCAGCCACGCCAGGGCUGAGCUGGACGCCCAGACCCCUGGGGCCAGGAUACACUGGGACCCUCCUUUCUCUCAACCUUGGAUCCUCUUUCACCAGAACUGUGUUCCCAGGUGACUGACGAGCCUGUCACGUGCCAGCCCCACGCUGCCCGCUCCCCUCUGUCUGGCUGUGGUACUGGCACAGGCCACACUACUAGAGUCAAGGCAGCCCCCCCCAACCCCAGGCUCUCCUGGACCCAGAAGCUGGAGGUCGGUGGGAUAUGCUUUCUCCACCUUGUACCACACUGAAGUUUUGUGGGGCACGGUGUGUGCCGGGGUGGGGCCCCCGGGAUCCAAGGACCCAGAGGUGGGUGAGGAGGAGCUGCCUGCCUGCAGCCCCGCUGUGGCCUGAGGGGUUGGGGGAGUCAAGACAGCCCUGCGUGUAGGAGGGGAGACCUUCGCGGGCAGGGCCCCAAGGCUGAGGGGGCCUGAGGCCUAAGACGCGACCCCGGGUGGGCUUCCAUGUGGACAGCAGAAGCAGGGGACUCCCAGGGAGUCACUGUAGGGACACCCCCAGGCCCCAGCCCUGAGAAUCACCUGUCCCCAAGGACCAGCUCAGCGGUGGGGACCAGGUGCCCAGCAAGCCGGGCCUGUCCCCAGACCCAGGGAGAGGUGGAACAGCUCCCCCAGCUCAGGUGGGGGACUGUGGCCACCACCUUUGGCUGAGAAAGUGGAACCGCUGCCCUGGAAGAUCUGUCUGAACCAGGCUCCCAGCUGUGCCACGGCCGAGGCAGACAGCGUUUUAAAGGCGCAAGCCCCAUGUGUCAGGGCUUCUCAGGCAAGGCUGUUCUGCAGCUGCCACCGUGUCAAUGGGACUGCGUCCCAGGUGUCCCUCGCACCCCUUCUGCACUGAUCGUGUAAGAACAGGAGGAGGGGGGCAGGUGGGGGGCAAAGAGCACCCGCAGGGUCCGGGCUGGGCAGCCGAGGGCAGCCUCUUCCUCGCGGAGCCGCUCAGCCAGCAGUCUCACCAGGAGCUGGUUAGCCCAGGUUAUGCCAAGGGCUGGGGAAACACGCUCGUCCCAGAACCUGAGAAUCAGGAAGCAGGCGAGCUGGUGCUCAGAAGGCUUGGUGGCCCCCGCCCACUUCGGCCCAGCUGUGCCCCUGGCACCUGCGCAGAGGUGCACGCACCACACGGCUGCACUCACCCCAGCGGCCCGUGUGCUGCGCCCUGCUCCUCCAUGGCCUCUGUCACCUGGAAGAGCACAGUCCAGGUCAGCUGCAACGGCCGCGGGUCUUCCCGAUGGGCAGGCACAGGCUGUUACCCGCAGGGGCCGGGGGCCACCGCACUGCCACCCGCCCCACCUCCAGACCGGCUCUGCUCUCGCAUCCUGGCUAAAAGUACGAGCUCACGGGUGCACCCCUGCCUUGGUGCCCACCUGGUUGAUGCACAGCACAGGGCUCUGGAAGGCACUGCUCAGCUCACGCAGCGCGGCCCCCAGGGACUGCAGACGCCUGGCCCUGGGGGCAGAGGCCUGGCUGUCAAAUUCACAGCGGAAUGGGGCCGCCACCGAGUCGAUGACCACCAGGCGAGCCAUGCCCCGAGACAGCAGAACGGGGACCUUCUUAUUCACACAUUCCAGCAAGGCGUCCUGUGGGGACAGGGCCAUGGUGUAUGCUGGCCAGCAGGCCCCGGCCCCCGGUGACCAGACCCCAUUUGGAGUGUCACUCAACCGUCUGACUCAAAACCUUCCUCCCCACCUGGGACUGACAGUGCUGGCUCUGCAGUCCCCAAACUCUGAGCCCAAUUCUGUAUUCUUCCCAAAAAGUCUCCAACUAUAGAAGCUUCAGGCUCACACAACUGGUUCCCUGGACUCCAUGUCCUUCCUCUGGCCCUCCCAGGCAGUCACCCCUUGGCCAUGCCAACACCAUCCUCUGCAGAGGCGUCCUUUGCCCAGGCUCCUGAGUCCUUGUGGGGGUCUGCUCUCCCUUCUGCCAUGGUUUCACCCUCUCCCCCUCACAGGUCAGCAGCAACCAGCCCUCUUCUUCAGUGGCCCCAUGCCAGGUGCUCAGACCACCCAGACCUGGCCACAGUGCCACCAAAUCUAGCCCGUGGUGGCCAUGACCACCUGGGCCACACCCUCUUUGGACGCUCAGCAAGGCAGGGGCCUAAUGCCCUUCAGGCGUUACUCAGGCGAGUCAGGCCUGGCCUGCCUCUGCCAAGGCGUGGGGCACGCUGGGAGACCAUCUGGGGGUCAGGAUGGGGCUGUAGGUGGAGACACCCUUAAGGCCAGUGCCUCCCGUGCACCCAGGCCUUAGCCCUGUGCUCUGAGCUGGCCUGGCCAAGGGGUGGAAACGGCCCUGUGCCCACCGGCUCCCAGGAGAGCUUCCAGGGGAGGGCCCCCCAGGGAAGGCAGGUGUCCUCGGCUUCCCUCUGGGUGCCGCUGUGGCCUGUGGGUGCCACGGCCAUUGGCAUGGCUGGCCUGGUCUCUGACCGCAGAGGUUGGUGAGCUGUGGUGAUGGGGGAGGGUGGCACAACUGCUCCUGGCACCAAGCAGGGUAGUUCAGGUCCCAUGGGCCUUGCCAGCAGCUCUGGCCAGAGCUGCCCCUAGGCUGCCCCUCAAAUCCAAGGUCUGCAGCCUCACACUGGUGUCACGCCUGGACCUCUGAAGACGCCCUGCACGCCCUGAGUGAAACUCGUCUGUGCUUCGUCUCCAGGGCGUCUCUGGCCGAGCCUCUUUUUGUGGAAAACGACAGCAGCAGCAGUGGCUUGGAAGACGCCACCGCUAACUGACCCCGACCUGGCCCCGCUCCAGGAUGGGACUGCCGAGUGUGGCCCGGAGCUGGCCCGGGACAGCCAGGGCAGCAGGGAGGGCCCCUGGCUGGGAGCCACAGUGCUCACUCAUUUCUCCUGCGUCUGUGUGCGUGGGGCACGAUACUAAUGACCACAUGGCUGGCGUGACCUUGGGACUGGGGCUGAGGCUGGGCCUAAGCUGGUGCCCUGGUGCAGCGUGGCCUCUCCCAGGAGGCCUGGGGCAUGAGCUGGGCCCACGGCUCCCUUCCCAUGUGUAACUUCCUCAUGUUGUGUGCGAUAAUGUAUUUUAUUGUACAUUUUUGAAAAUUAAACGUUUAUAUGCCUUA